CCCUUAGAUGUUCUGGGCGGCCCGCGCACUACAUUGGCACUGGCAACAAGAUCCUAGAUCUGGUAUUUCGGGGUAUUCUACCAACUGGUGUCGUGACUGGGAUUAACCCCUGCAAUUAUUGGUUAUGAACGAGGAAUUCCUUGUAAUCACGGUUUAUCAACCCGUGUUGAAUGCGUCCCUGCCCUUUGUACACACCGCCCGUCGCUCCUACCGAUGAAUCGUCCGGUGAAGUUCAUGGAGUCGCGGCUGCUCCAGCUGUUUUCGAAGUGAAAUGCACCUCAUGAUUUAGAGGAAGGAGAAGUCGUAACA
rnacentral:rRNA from 1 species